GAUCACAGAAGCAUAAAGGCCGAGGGAAGAGACGGUUGUGGUGGCACAGAGAGGCUCAGUGGCCACUUGAACAAGGACACUCUUCAUCUUUCUUAGCUGAAGUCAAGAAGCAGAUUGCUGAUUUAGUCGUACAUGGGAGCAGGUCGCUGAUGGCCUCAAAACAUCAUCCACAACCAUUAGAAGGAUAGCUGACAAUUCCCAAGGAAUUAACUUAGAUACCAAGUCCCCCUGCUGAGGAACAUCUCAGUCUCAUAGUCUCUGCCAUUCCAAUCCUGGAAGAUGGAGCUGUCCACAGUUGACUAAUUCUUUGCCAGACAUGUGGAUGAGCUGUAGAUAUCCAAUGAAUCAGAAUCCCAAUCCACAGGUGUCAGAAGAUCAAAAUCCAACAAGAUCAUCUGCUCCAAAUCUUCUUCCAACUCUCUAGGUGAUCUCAAUAUAUGUAUCUUAAGGGCACUAACGAUGAAGUAGUCACAGUCCCCAUGAACGUUAAGAUGCAUGCAUCAAUUCCAGGGCCUGCUUCCAUGGUUUCAUCACCAUGAGUAGACUCGAGGACAGCUCCUGUCGGCUUAGCUUCUCUGUCAAGUGAGCUCAGUUGGCCAUUGCCGAAGCUUUAAGCAGUGGGACUGUUUCCCAUAUUUACUUGAUGAUACAACAUGAACUUUGGCACAUAAGCCUUAGGCAAUUGUGGAUUUCUUGUUAUGAGUAUAUGAUUACCGAUGCUCUAGGGGAGGAUAUGAUGCCUUCUGAUUUGCUUCAUAAUUUUGAUCGAGUAAUAUGCUGAUUGUUUCAUAUGAGAAAGAUAUAUUACUUGGGACAGAUGCAAGAGAAUACCACCAAACGUUGCCACCCAAACUUGAGUCAACCACCGGCAAAUCGUCUUCCUUGUGUACAAGCUUGCUUCGUCUUGCCUUGGCAUCCUUCCACGUUUUAAGCUACCUUUCUCCCACUUUAAUAGCUA